AAUAAGUACAGUGGUUGGCUGGAAGUGAUCAGCUGACACUUUCAGCCAAUCACAUCCACUCAGUGCUGCUCAAGGUGAUGCUUCCUCAUUAACACAAGCAGCACAGGGGAGAUGUCCUUCUGGGGACUUUUGUUUAGCAUUACAACUUUAAAAACACUGAAUGGAAGGAAGGAGCAAAUGGAAUUUCAGAUACUAAAACCACUUCAACAAGAUGA